AGUGAACGCUGGCGGUAGGCCUAACACAUGCAAGUCGAACGGCAGCACAGUAAGAGCUUGCUCUUACGGGUGGCGAGUGGCGGACGGGUGAGGAAUACAUCGGAAUCUACUUUUUCGUGGGGGAUAACGUAGGGAAACUUACGCUAAUACCGCAUACGACCUACGGGGGAAAGCAGGGGAUCUUCGGACCUUGCGCGAUUGAAUGAGCCGAUGUCGGAUUAGCUAGUUGGCGGGGUAAAGGCCCACCAAGGCGACGAUCCGUAGCUGGUCUGAGAGGAUGAUCAGCCACACGGGAACUGAGACACGGUCCAGACUCCUACGGGAGGCAGCAGUGGGGAAUAUUGGACAAUGGGCGCAAGCCUGAUCCAGCCAUACCGCGUGGGUGAAGAAGGCCUUCGGGUUGUAAAGCCCUUUUGUUGGGAAAGAAAAGCAGCAGGUUAAUACCCCGCUGUUCUGACGGUACCCAAAGAAUAAGCACCGGCUAACUUCGUG
rnacentral:rRNA from 1 species